AGUGAACGCUGGCGGUAGGCCUAACACAUGCAAGUCGAACGGCAGCACAGGAGAGCUUGCUCUCUGGGUGGCGAGUGGCGGACGGGUGAGGAAUACAUCGGAAUCUACCUUUUCGUGGGGGAUAACGUAGGGAAACUUACGCUAAUACCGCAUACGACCUUCGGGUGAAAGCAGGGGACCUUCGGGCCUUGCGCGGAUAGAUGAGCCGAUGUCGGAUUAGCUAGUUGGCGGGGUAAAGGCCCACCAAGGCGACGAUCCGUAGCUGGUCUGAGAGGAUGAUCAGCCACACUGGAACUGAGACACGGUCCAGACUCCUACGGGAGGCAGCAGUGGGGAAUAUUGGACAAUGGGCGCAAGCCUGAUCCAGCCAUACCGCGUGGGUGAAGAAGGCCUUCGGGUUGUAAAGCCCUUUUGUUGGGAAAGAAAAGCAGCCAGUUAAUACCUGGUUGUUCUGACGGUACCCAAAGAAUAAGCACCGGCUAACUUCGUGCCAGCCGCCGCGGUAAAAC
rnacentral:rRNA from 1 species